rnacentral:rRNA from 1 species
UACGUAGGGCGCAAGCGUUGUCCGGAUUUAUUGGGCGUAAAGAGCUCGUAGGCGGCUUGUUGCGUCGACCGUGAAAACCCGUGGCUCAACUGCGGGCUUGCGGUCGAUACGGGCGGGCUAGAGUUCGGUAGGGGAGACUGGAAUUCCUGGUGUAGCGGUGAAAUGCGCAGAUAUCAGGAAGAACACCAACGGCGAAGGCAGCUCGCUGGGACGGUACUGACGCUGAGACGCGAAAGCGUGGGGAGCAAACAGG